CCCGCGCUGCGCUCGCCGGCAGCGGCCGACCCGGGCCGGGCCGGGGCUCGGCUCCAGCCGCAGCCGGGACGUGCAGCCGCCAAGGUGCUGCGCUGCAGGGGCUCGGGAGAGUCCCCGGUCCCCAAGAAAAUAAGUCAGUCUUCUAUUCAGCUGUGGCUUCUCUGCCUCUCCUCCUGUACUGAAUGCAAGUUUGAGUAAGGAAAGGAAACAUGAUGGGGGAAGUGAAGGGUUGUCUGUAGCUUUGGAGGUUCUCCUCUCCAGGACUCUGUCUCAUUCCCAAGGGCAUACCAGAGAGGACCUCCAAAUCAAGACAAAGUUGUCAAAUUUUGCAUUGGAUUGAAUGAAAACAAUAUAUCCAUCACUACUACUUAACAAUAUGAAAGUCAUUGGCUCUUCUGGAACUGGUACUCUAACAUACCACACAAGAAACACUCUGGCAAGAGAAAACUAAAGGCCAGCUCUUAAGAAAUUACCCAUUUGACAGAAGAACAGACUGAACAUAAUGCAUGCCCACCAAGGACUACCACUUUAACUCAAGAAAAUGGAGAAGUAUCAUACUAUAGUGUUCAACAUAGAAAAACUGGUGGAAAACAGGAUUAGCAAGACACAAAAAUAUUUUCCUUUAAACAUUUGUUUUCUAAACCCAGUGGCACUUCAGAGCUGAUGGUUACAGAUAAGUACAGAAGAACAUAAAUAAAGAAUCCCAUAAUCCAGUGAGGAUUAACAGGUCAGAAUUAAAUUAAUCUUGACUAAUAGACACAUUUCAUCUUUUUUAGCGAAAAAAUACAUUAAAACUGAAUUAAAAAGCUUCCUUCUCCUUUUUCAGUAACAAUGAAUAAACCAGGGAAAACUUUGCCAGUAACAUUAGAAAGCAAGAGAUAAAAAUAUUUUUAAUCUCUUUCUGCUGCCUGCAACCUUCCCUUGUGAAUAUAUUUGGAAUAGUGAAGUCUCAACUGUCAAAGAGUUAGUUUCUUAGCUCUAAAUCUUGAUUAAAGUCUAAAAAUUUCCAAGCUUGGUUUAUUAUCCCUUAUUUUCACAUAAAAACUAACACUUCCAGGGAGACACUACCUGCAAAUUUGCCCUCCCACAAACACUAGCAAGCAUUUUCAUAUACAUCCUUUCCUUGUGACUUACAAGUAUUGAUUGAAUAAUUCUGUCCUCCAUUUAUUUGGUUUUGAAAAGAUGUAUUUUGCAUCUGCAGUCUGUCCUUUCAUUCUGUUCCAUUGUGUAGCCUUUUUGUCAUCAGU